rnacentral:rRNA from 1 species
ACGAACGCUGGCGGCGUGCUUAACACAUGCAAGUCUAAGGAGAACGGGUUCUUCGGAAUCCUAUUAAACUGGCGAACGGGUGAGUAACGCGUAGACAACUUGCCCGAAGAUUUGGGAUAACACUGAGAAAUUAGUGCUAAUACCGAAUAAUAUCACUUUGACCUCGGUCUUUGUGAUCAAAGGUGGCUUCGGCUACCGUCUUCGGAUGGGUCUGCGUCUGAUUAGCUAGUUGGUGAGGUAAUGGCUCACCAAGGCAACGAUCAGUAGCUGGUCUGAGAGGAUGAUCAGCCACACUGGGACUGAGAUACGGCCCAGACUCCUACGGGAGGCAGCAGUGGGGAAUAUUGCGCAAUGGACGAAAGUCUGACGCAGCAACGCCGCGUGAGGGAUGACGGCCUUCGGGUUGUAAACCCCUUUCAGGAGGGACGAAGCGAAAGUGACGGUACCUCCAGAAGAAGCCCCGGCCAACUACGUGCCAGCAGCCGCGGUAAUACGUAGGGGGCGAGCGUUGUCCGGAUUUAUUGGGCGUAAAGAGCUCGUAGGCGGCUCAGCAAGUCGGCCGUGAAGCCUGAGGCUCAACCUCAGGAUGCCGGUCGAAACUGCUGUGGCUAGGGUCCGGUAGAGGAGAGUGGAAUUCCCAGUGUAGCGGUGAAAUGCGCAGAUAUUGGGAGGAACACCAGUAGCGAAGGCGGCUCUCUGGGCCGGCACCGACGCUGAGGAGCGAAAGCUAGGGGAGCAAACAGGAUUAGAUACCCUGGUAGUCCUAGCUGUAAACGUUGGGCACUAGGUGUGGCGGAUUCAUUGACUCCAUCCGUGCCGAAGCUAACGCAUUAAGUGCCCCGCCUGGGGAGUACGGCCGCAAGGCUAAAACUCAAAGGAAUUGACGGGGGCCCGCACAAGCAGCGGAGCAUGUGGUUUAAUUCGACGCAACGCGAAGAACCUUACCUAGGCUUGACAUACAGCGAAAAACCCUAGAGAUAGGGUGUGUUCGGGGCUCGUGCACAGGUGGUGCAUGGCUGUCGUCAGCUCGUGUCGUGAGAUGUUGGGUUAAGUCCCGCAACGAGCGCAACCCCUGUCCUAUGUUGCCAGCGGAUAAUGCCGGGGACUCAUGGGAGACUGCCGGGGACAACUCGGAGGAAGGCGGGGACGACGUCAAGUCAUCAUGCCCCUUAUGUCCAGGGCUGCACGCAUGCUACAAUGGCAGGUACAAUGGGCAGCGAUCCCGCGAGGGUGAGCGAAUCCUCAAAGCCUGUCUCAGUUCGGAUCGGAGUCUGCAACUCGACUCCGUGAAGUCGGAGUCGCUAGUAAUCGUGGAUCAGCUAUGCCACGGUGAAUACGUUCUCGGGCUUUGUACUCACCGCCCGUCAA